rnacentral:rRNA from 1 species
UACGGAGGGAGCUAGCGUUGUUCGGAAUUACUGGGCGUAAAGCGCACGUAGGCGGCUUUGUAAGUUAGAGGUGAAAGCCCGGGGCUCAACCCCGGGAGGCGGAUGGAUACUGCUUGGCUCGAGUCCGGAAGAGGCGAGUGGAAUUCCCGGUGUAGCGGUGAAAUGCGCAGAUAUCAGGAGGAACACCGGUGGCGAAGGCGGGUCUCUGGGCCGUAACUGACGCUGAGGAGCGAAAGCGUGGGGAGCGAACAGG